rnacentral:SRP_RNA from 1 species
GCCAGGUGCAGUGGUGUGUGCCUGUAGUCCCAGCUACUCAGGAGGCUGAGGUGGGAAGAUCGCUUGAGCCCAGGAGUUCUGGGGUGUAGUGCACUAUGCUGAUCAGGUAUCUGCAAUAAGUUGGGCAUCAAUAUGGUGACCUCCCAGAAGCAGGAGACCACCAGGUUGCCUAAGGAGGGGUGAACCAGCCUAGGUCAGAAACAGAAAAAAGCUCCUGUGCUGAUCAGCAGUGGAAUCGUGCCUGUGAAUAGCCACUGCACUCCAGCCAGGGCAACAUAGGGAGACCCUGUCUCU